AUGCACGCUGGCGGCGUGCUUAACACAUGCAAGUCGAACGAUGAAGCCCAGCUUGCUGGGUGGAUUAGUGGCGAACCGGUGAGUAACACGUGAGUAACCUGCCCUUGACUCUGGGAUAAGCCCGGGAAACUGGGUCUAAUACCGGAUAGGAGCGCCUGUCGCAUGACGGGUGUUGGAAAGAUUUUUCGGUCAUGGAUGGACUCGCGGCCUAUCAGCUUGUUGGUGAGGUAAUGGCUCACCAAGGCGACGACGGGUAGCCGGCCUGAGAGGGUGACCGGCCACACUGGGACUGAGACACGGCCCAGACUCCUACGGGAGGCAGCAGUGGGGAAUAUUGCACAAUGGGCGGAAGCCUGAUGCAGCGACGCCGCGUGAGGGAUGACGGCCUUCGGGUUGUAAACCUCUUUCAGUAGGGAAGAAGCGAAAGUGACGGUACCUGCAGAAGAAGCACCGGCUAACUACGUG
rnacentral:rRNA from 1 species